rnacentral:ncRNA from 1 species
GUGUCAGACCCGCGGGCAAAGGGACAGUCUCAGGUAGACAGUUUCGAUGGGGCGUAGGCCUCCCAAAAGGUAACGGAGGCGUGCAAAGGUUUCCUCGGGCCAGACGGACAUUGGUCCUCGAGUGCAAAGGCAGAAGGGAGCUUGACUGCAAGACUCACCCGUCGAGCAGAGACGAAAGUCGGCCUUAGUGAUACGACGGUGCCGAG